UCAAGUCUUGAUUUAAACAAUAAACAAUGCGAUGCUGCUCUCAUUUAGGGCAUCAUUAAGUGUGAGAAGGGGCCCAUCUGCGAAGAAGAAUUCCCCCAGCACCGAUGGCAGCGUCUGGUCCCCGACAAUGCAACCAGAUGGCCCGCUUGUAAAAAGGAAAUAUUCCCUGCUUUCAUCAACGAAGAGGCCUUCAGCUUUCAAGAACCUCCAUCAUGACCUGUAGCCCCGCCCCCUUCGCAAGUUGUCAAUCAUUGAUGAAGCCUAUUUCGAGGGGACGCGACUGCCUUGUCGAGUGAGUUCACCCAAUCCCCAUUGGAUCAACUCUGCAACCUCCACCUCCAUCCUUCCUCGCCCUCCUGGAGGAAGAAAAACAACCGAUCAAUGCGGCGCCUGCGUAUCCUGAGGUUUGGCAAACACUCACGCACGGCAACGCACAUGUUGUCAUUUGGAUGCGGGGGGGACUUCCCCUUUGAGCUCAUGACAUUUUAAUUCACACCCCUUAAAAAAAAAGGCUUCCUCUGAGGUCUGGUUCUUGGAGGAGAGCCCUGU